UACGUAGGGUGCAAGCGUUGUCCGGAAUUAUUGGGCGUAAAGAGCUCGUAGGCGGUUUGUCGCGUCGGCUGUGAAAACUCGGGGCUCAACCCCGAGCCUGCAGUCGAUACGGGCAGACUAGAGUGCUGUAGGGGAGACUGGAAUUCCUGGUGUAGCGGUGAAAUGCGCAGAUAUCAGGAGGAACACCGGUGGCGAAGGCGGUCUGCUGGGCAGUUGCUGACACUGAGGCGCGACAGCGUGGGGAGCAAACAGG
rnacentral:rRNA from 1 species